rnacentral:lncRNA from 1 species
CCGAAACCAAUUCAGGCUAUUUCUCCUAAAAUUAGAGAAUGUGCAAAUUCGCUAUAGCUCCACUUUGGGCCAACCAUAUGCUUGAUUUGGGCUAUCUCUGGACAACUGAACUUGAAUGCAUGUUAUAGAGAACCAAGUAGAUCUUCAACCUUUGCUGCACUGCCAUGGCCAUCAACAAUAGCCUUCGUUCUCUCCUCCUCCUUCACCUCUACUACAAGGCAUACUCAUUUGCCAUUGUUGCCCUUGCCCCACUACACAUCAGCCCACCACCCCCACGACCAGAUUUAUGUCCAUCUGUGUUUGCUUCUGCCACCUGUUGCUACGUUUUCCACCAAACGUUGGCGUUAGCUAGACUUGCAAUCAGAUCAAG